GCCAAUUGUAUCCCUGAUGUCCCAUCAUUAAACACAACCUCAUUUGGCCAUCCAUGAAAAAGCUACUUAACCUCCCUCUUUUCUAUAGGAAUACAUGCGACCGACGGGCAGUGCACUAAUUAUCAUAAUCAUAACAGCUUCAAAGGUCCAGUGUGUAGGAUGUAGGGGCAUCUAUUGACAGAUAUUGAUCAUGUUUUCAUUGAUCAAUUGAAACCAAAAAUCCUCAUGCUUUUGUUAACUUAAAAUGUGCCUUUUAAAUCUACAGAGGUGGUGGUUCCUCUUCCACAGAGUCCACCAUGUUGUCACUGUGAAGAUUCUACAGUAGCCAUGAAGGAACAAACACAAACCGAACACUAGCCAUUUAGUUAGUGUUCGGUUUUUGUUUUGUUUUUUGUUUUCAGUGGCUCAGAAAAGUGAGGUGAGGGGUGUUCAGUUGAUUGCAAUCUUCAACAUCACCACUAGAGGCCACUAACUCCUGCACACUAGAUCUUCAGUAAUUGCUUUGUUAUAUUCAGGUGUCCAGCAUGCUGAGGCAGCAUGAAACUAAAGCAAUUAAAUGGAAUUCAGUCAUCAUUAAUUCCGUUAUUCUGUUCUAUUCUAUAUUCCAUUACUAAAGCGGAUAACUUCAGUGCAAAAGCAUGUCAUAAUUCUGUGAUUCAACAGGCAUGACCCAGGUUUACUUUCCACUGUAUAACUCAUCUGGAACUAAUAUGUCAGACGUGAAGGGAGACUCUCAAAUUGAUGUAUGCCUGUGGUUCAUUUUCUCUCACUCCGUGGCAUUUCUACAGUUUGAUCCACCGACUCAGCACUUUUGCAGAGUGGACCAACUCUGGGGGACUUAUGGGAGUUUGAUGCUCCCUCGCUGCCAAAUGCCAGCAGGCCGAUGAAAAAAGAUACCUGAAACUUCUAAGCUCAAUAUUUAAUCAAGCGCUGGGUUACAUUUGCUGUUUGAUUAGUCCAUCUUGUCGCAUCAUAAUCAUCCAGGACUGCAGAGAUCCACCUGAGAAUAGCCCUGAUGAGCUUGUUCCAGGAGGGCAUUACCACUGGUAUUUGUAUCCCGAGAACAUUGACUAAGUGCCCUAGUUCAUCAUAUGCAAAUGGCUUAUUAAUUACACAUGCAUUAUGCCCGUAUUCAGAAGACAUCAAAGGGCCUGCGAGUCUUCAGAUGGUCCCCCUCUGUAACACACUCAGGUUACAAAUGCCUGCGUGUGCACUUUCCCUGCAUGUCUUUUCGGGCAGAAUAACUACAUCCUCAAUUAAAAGAUUUUCACAGGAACCUUUUUUUUUUUUUUUUUUUCUCGCCUCCCAAUAUUUUAGAAACACCUCCGGUGGUCUGCGGUUUGUUUGGUAACCCGCAAAUUGCAAAUAAUCAUUUGAGCCUAGAUUACACGGCAUUAUUAGAAAGCGGUGAGACAGAGAGUGGCGAAAAGACAAAAAAAAAAAAAGCCAAACCAAUAUUUGCUUUUACUAAUUGAGAAGUGUCUGUAGUCGUUUAAGAGUACGACCCUGCUUAGUUGUCCCAAAUCUUUUCCAUCGAUCAGCUCCUUGAUCACCGUAAUAGUUGUUUUGGUAUCAAUGCCUCAGUCCCGAGCUUCAGACAUUUCUGUUCUGUGUGUCUGCAUGUUUGCUCUGUCUAUUCCUCCCUGGUGAGUUCUCUGUUAACGACCCAUACAGCAGGUGUCAGAGUGUGAUUUAUACAACCUAUAAUGCCUCACAUUGAUUAGCAAUAGAGCUCUAAUGGGAUGCCAGCUCUCAAACCAGGGUUAAAAAAAACAAAAAAAACAUUGCAUGCCACACCUUCUUAGUGCUGUUCUAUAUCGUUAUGCAUCCUGGGUUUUUUUUUUGUUUUUUUUGCACAAAUUGCUGCAACUGAACCUGUCCAAUGAGACGGCGUGGAGGGAGCUUGCGGUGUGCAAUCACCGUAACCCUGGGCAGUCCGCUGUUAUCAGUCUCUGGUGGGCUUGCUCUGACUGGGUGCUGCUAGCAUAAUUAGCACAGCGCUCACUUUGAUGAUAAAAAUGGGUAAUAGGGCAUUCAUUCCCUCCCCUGCCUACCUGAUUUCACCAUCGUUUAUUGAUCUAAUUAAAAUAAUUCUGCUGUUAAUGGUGUGUUUUUUUUCUUUUUUUUUUGUUACGGCGAGGAAGUUUUGAUUACAGACACUCGAAAAAAAGAUUAGGCGCUGCUGAUGAUAUCAACGGCAGACGCACUCACAAGACAUUUCAUUUUGAAGGUAGAUUUUUUUUCCUGUCGAGAGUUUUGGUUGCAUUAACGCCUAUCAGUGCUUAAACGUUUGGACUCGGGGCUGAAAAUAAAUGUCUUGUGAAGCCACUCCCAAGCUGACAGAGGAUCUUCAAACCGCCCAAGACAGCUGGAAAUAAAUCUCUCAUUGAAGAUAUUGCAAUUAUGCAGAAGUGCUGCGGUUUACUGAUACUGAUGUAGAGCAUUUUUCAUCCUCGUGUAUACGAGAGGAGCAUGAUGUACAUCAAAGCCACCAGGUGGGGCUGAUUCUUUCAUAAAUGAAUCCCUACUUUUGGCAUUUUUUUGUUCAGGAUCAGAGCAGAAAAUGCUUAAGUGAGGUGCAUUUCCUACGGUAUUUUUGUAUGGCACCUCCAAAACUAUCAUUUCUCAUUAGGAGACCAAACUGUUUGCGGUUGUCCUCAUUACUAAAAAGAUAGAGCUCUACCCCCAAAGGUAACUUCAUCAACACCAGAGACAAAUCUAUCUUAGGUGCUCUAUUUAUAUUUCUGACUCACUGCCACAAAGAUUUAUUCUGCACUCCUGUCAAUCCAUCUCUCUAAUGGGCAAUGGCAUCCUUUUUAGUUUAGAUGGCUGGUGUGUGUGUAUGUGUGUGUGUGCGUACAUGCACAUCCUUUAGCACCAGGAUUUUUUUUUUUAUCAGAUGUGCACACAAAAACAAGUACCUCGAAGUCACAGAGCCCGCCUCCUCUCUAAAGAGA